ensembl:snoRNA small nucleolar RNA U3
AAGACUAUACUUUCAGGGAUCAUUUCUAUAGUUAUUAACUAGGAAAUGUGUUUCGAAAGAGUUUUGUCUUCCAAACCACGAUGAUGAGUGAGAAUGUGCUUCUCUGAGCGUGAAUCGGGUAGUGAACCGUGAUAUAAUCACAGGAAACUACUAUUGAUGAACGUUCAUGAUUCUUUUUUGGAUCAAUGAGGAGAAGUGCAUGAUCCGAGUGGUU